rnacentral:lncRNA from 1 species
AGGGAGGGGAGGACAGAGGGAAGGGAAGGAAGGAGGAAGAGCUUUACUGUGUGCCCAGUGGAAUUUAGGCGCUCUCACCCUAGUUGCAGAAACUUAUAAAAACAUCCCCCUGUUCUCCGUUGAGAGUUAAGGAUAGUUUUUGAGGCCAGAGAAAGAGAAAAGAAGGAGAGAUCACCAGAAAGAGAGGAAGAGAAGAAGUGGGAAGAAAAGGAGCUGCAGUCUACAAUGGAAGCCUCCAGGCUCCUUAGCCUCACCUUAUAAAGCCACAUCACCGCAGAGAUAGCAAAGAUCGUGCCCUUUCCCAGGGAGUUUCUACCGCCAGGCUAAGACCCUGGGAGAAAAGACUGCCUCCAGGGAAUCAUGUCCGAUUAGGGACAAAGGAGGGCACAAGCCCAAUUCAGUCACACGACCGCAAGCAACGUGGCCCACAACGCAGAGAUGCCUCUGGCAAUCUCUUCAGGAAAACGAAGAUUCCUUACCUAGGCUAGGUAAGGCCCUGCUGGAUAAAU